rnacentral:rRNA from 1 species
UUGAUCUCAAAUCAGGUAGGACUACCCGCUGAACUUAAGCAUAUCAAUAAGCGGAGGAAAGAAACUAACAAGGAUUCCCCUAGUAACUGCGAGUGAAGCGGGAAGAGCUCAAAUUUAAAAUCUGGCGUGCCUCUGGCCGUCCGAGUUGUAGUCUGGAGAAGCGUUUUCCGUGUUGGACCGUGUAUAAGUCUCUUGGAACAGGGCGUCAUAGAGGGUGAGAAUCCCGUCUUUGACACGGACUACCAAUGCUUUGUGAUGCGCUCUCAAAGAGUCGAGUUGUUUGGGAAUGCAGCUCAAAAAUGGGUGGUAAAUUCCAUCU